rnacentral:rRNA from 1 species
UACGUAGGGGGCUAGCGUUGUCCGGAUUUAUUGGGCGUAAAGAGCGUGUAGGCGGCCAGAUAGGUCUGCUGUGAAAACUCGAGGCUCAACCUCGAGAUGUCGGCGGAAACCAUUUGGCUAGAGUCCGGAAGAGGAAAGUGGAAUUCCUGGUGUAGCGGUGAAAUGCGCAGAUAUCAGGAGGAACACCGGUGGCGAAGGCGGUGCUCUGGGCCGGAACUGACGCUGAGGAGCGAAAGCGUGGGUAGCAAACAGG